AGCUCAUGGCAAUGCCGGAUUCGUAACCCACUGAGCAAGGCCAGGGAUCAAACCCAAAACCUCAUCAUUCCUAGCUGGAUUUGUUAACCACUGAGCCAUGAAGGGAACUCCCUACAUUUAACUUUUGAAUCAAUUCUGUUUCAUUUGUUUUAUAUAACAAUCUAGCCUUAUGUUUCUAAAUAUUUAACUGCCAUUAUAAUAAAACUAUUUAAGUCAGUGCAACUAUUUCAAUCAAUAGUUGGAAAAUUAUUUAAGUCAACUACUUAAGUACUUUCUUUAAAAGCAGUCUAGAGGUGUAGGUGAUGUGGCUACAUGAGUGUAUCCUUUAAAAAAAGAAAAACACCUAAAACCAUAGACUUAAAAUCUGUGCAUUUCAAUGUAUAUAACUUUUGUCUAAAAAAGGGAAAGAAAACAAAAAUUGAGUGAAGUGGUAGAGAGUAGGUGAUGUUAUAGAUGGAACAAAAAUGUCAGAUUAUUGAUAUAGAUAUAAAGUCCUUGAGUAAGAAAGAGUAUUAGAAAAUAAGUGAGAAGAAAGGAAACUCCACAGACACUUAAGUUGCUCAUAAGAAAAGGGACAAUGAAGAAAGAAUGUGAAGAGGGGACAAGGCAAGAAUUCUGUUAUCAGUUCUCAGAAGUAGAGGGCCUGAAGGUAAUUCUGAAAAAGUACAUUCUGUGCAUUCAGGUUAGGGGAAAAAAGUGAUUCAGGAUAUACUCUACCUUUGGUUUAGUAAGAAACACAUGCUUUAAACUAAAGAGUCCAAUUCUGGGUGGAGGGAUUGCAAAAUAAACAGCAUUUGGACAAGAAAUUGUUGCAGAAAAAUCUUCACAACAAUGACUCAAAGUUUGGUUCUCAUACUAUCAGUCACAUCUGCAUCACCUGGGAAUCUGCUAGAAAUGCAAGUUAUGAGGCCCCACCCUUGAAUCAGAAACAAUCAAUUUCUCUUUAACACGCCCUCCAGCUGAUUCUGAUGCAUGCUAAAGGGCAAUGCAAUGCUGCACAGAUUUCACAAAGAUUUAAGAUUCUAAACUAGCUAGUCUGGCUCUAGAUCACAUUCUUUACCAUACAGUACAAUUCAUUUUAGAGGUCUUCCUUUACCUAACUCAAACAGUGCCCCUUUCUAGUCCUUUGUUCUAGUGAAUAGAAUUUCCUCCCUUUGCGUAAGACUUGCAGGAUCUUAGUUUGAAAUUCGGCAGGAUGAAAUUUAUUUAAGCACCUUUGAAGAGGUGUGUCAUCCUCUAUUUCCAAGAGAUCUAUCUUCAGAUGGGGUCAAGGAAACCCCUAGGUGAGAAUCCGGCCUCAAGGUUGAGAGUAGAGUAUACCAGUUUUAAGGACAACAGGUCAGUAUUUAAGAGGAAUGAUGAUUUUCUUUUUUCUUUUUAGGGCUGCACCUGUGGCACAUGGAGGUUCCCAGGCUAGGGGUCAAAUUGGUGUUGUAGCUCCUGGCCUACACCAGAGCCACAGCAAUGCAGGAUCUGAGCAGCAUCUACGACCUACACCACAACUUACGGCAAUGUCAGAUCCUUAACCUACUGAGUGAGGCCAGGGAUUGAACCUGCGUCCUCAUGGAUGCUGGUCAGAUUUGUCUCCACUGAUUCAUGAUGGGAAUUCCGAUUUUUUUUUUUUUUUUUUUUUUGGCUACACCCCUGUGACAUGCAGAAAUUCCUGGGCAGGGAUUGAACUAGGCCGCAAGACUGACCCCAGCCAUAUCAGUAACCCAAGCAGCAACAAUGACAGAUCCCCAACCAUUGGGCCACCAGGAACUCCAGGGAAUAUUGAUUCUUAAAAGAGGGUAGUGAUUAGCACUCAGACUGUUUCUGGCUUUGUCCCAAAUGCAUUCCUAAGUCUUAAAGGACUAUCUGAGAAUGAAAAUGGAAAGGGCUAGCUAAAAUCUGGAACAACAAGGAUGCCCACUCUCACAACUUUUAUACAGCUCAGUAUUGGAAAUCCUAGCCACAGCAAUCAGACAAACAAAAGAAACAAAAGGUGUCCAAAUUGUAAGAGAAGAGGUAAAAUUGUCACUCUAUGUAGAUGACAUGAUACUGUAUAUAGAAAACCCUAAGGACUCCACACAAAAACUACUUGAACUAAUGAACGAAUUCAGCAAAGUAGCAGGAUACAAGAUUAACAUUCAGAAAUCAGUUACAUUUCUGUAUACUAACAAUGAAAUACUAGAAGAAGAAUACAAAAAUGUAAUACCUUUUAAAAUCGCACCCCCCCAAAAUUAAAUACCUAGGAAUAAACCUUACUGAGGAGGUGAAAGACUUGUAUGCUGAGAACUAUAAAACAUUAAUCAAGGAAAUUAAAGAGGAUUCAAAGAAAUGGAAAGAUAUUCAAUGCUCCUGGGUAGGAAGAAUUAAUAUCAUAAAAAAUGGCCAUAUUACCCAAAGCAAUCUACAGAUUCAGUGCAAUCCCUGUCAAAUUACCCAUGACAUUUUUCAUAGAACUAGAACAAACAAUCCAAAAAUUUAUAUAGAACCACAAAAGACCCAGAAUUUCCAAAGCAAUCCUAAGGAACAAAAACCAAGGAGGACUCUUCCAGACUUCAGGCAAUGUUAUAAAGGCUGUAAUCAAGACAGUGUGGUACUGGUACUAAAACAAACAUAUAGACCAAUGGAACAGAACAGAGAAUCCAGAAAUAAACUCAGACACCUACAGUCAAUUAAUCCUUGACAAAGGAAGCAAGAACAUAAAAUGGGAAAAAGGCAGUUUUUUUAGUAAGUGGUGCUCAGAAAACUGGACAGCCACAUGUGAAUCAAUGACACUGGAACACACUCUAACACCAAGCACACAGAUAAAUUCAAAAUGGCUUAAAGAUUUAAAUGUAAGACAAGACACCACCAAAGUCCUAGAAGAGAACAUAGGCAAAACAUUCUCUAACAUCAACCGUACAAAUGUUUUAUUAGGUCAGACUAAUAAAAAUAAAAGCAAAAGUAAACCAAUGGGACCUAAUCAAACUGACAAACUUUUGCAUUGCAAAGGAAACCAUUAAAAAAAAACACACACACACACAAACUAUGGAAUGGGAGAAAAUAGUUUCAAAUGAUGAAAUUGACAUGGGCUUAAUCUCUAAAAUAUAUAAAUACCUUACACAACUCAACAGCAAAAAAGCCAACACCCCAAUAGAGAAACGGGCAAAAGACAUGAAAAGACAUUUCUCCAAAGAAGAUAUACAGGCGGCUAACAGACACAUGAAAAAAUGCUCAAUAUCACUAAUUAUUAGAAAAAUGCAAUCAAAACUACUAUGAGGUACCACCUCACACCUGUUAGAAUGGCUAUCGUUAACAUGGCAACCAAUAACAAAUGCUGAAGAGGGUGUGGAGAAAAGGGUACCCUCCUACACUGUUGGUGGGAAUGGAAAUUGGUUCAACCACAAUGGAAAACGGUAUGGAGGUACCUCAAAAAACUAAAGAUAGAACUACCAUAUGACCCAGCGAUCCCAUUCUUGGGCAUACAUCCAGACAAAACUUUCCUUGAAAAAGAUACAUUCACAAAAAGAUACAUGUAUACACACAGAAAAAUAUACAUACAUGUGUGUUCACUGCACCACUAUUCACAAUAGCCAAGACAUGGAAACAACCUAAAUAUCCAUCUACAGAUGAAUGGAUUAAGAAGAUGUGGUAUUGGAGUUCCUGUCAUGGCUCAGUGGUUAACAAAUCCGACUAGGAAGCAUGGGGCUGUAGGUUCAAUCCCUGGCCUCGCUCAGCAGGUUAAGGAUCCGAUGUUGCCUUGAGCUGUGGUGUGUGUGGGUCGAAGACGAGUCUUGGAUCUGGUGUUGCUGUGGCUGUGGUGUAGGCCAGUGGCUACAGCUCUGAUUAGACUCCUAGCCUGGGAACUUCCAUGUGCUGUGGGUGAGGCCCUAGAAAAGACAAAAAAAGAGAAGAUGUUGUAUGUAUACACAAUGGAAUACUCCUCAGCAUGGAAUACUCCUCAGCCAUAGAAAAGAACAAAAUAAAAGAACAAAAUAAUGCUAUUUGCAGCAACAUGGAUGGAACUAGAGACUCUCCUACUAAGUGAAGUAAGUGAAGUAAGUCAGAAAGAGAAAGACAAAUACUGUAUGAUAUCACUUGUAUCUGGAAUCUCAUAUACAGCACCAAUGAACCUUUCCACAGAAAAGAAACUCAUGGACUUGGAGAACAGACUUGUGGUUGUAAACAGACUUGUUGAGGGGGAGGGAGUGGGAUGGACUGAGAGUCUGGGGUUAAUAGAUGCAAACUAUUGCAUUUGGAGUGGGUAAGCAAUGAGAUCCUGCUAUAUAGCCCAGGGAACUAUAUCUAGUCACUUAUGAUGGAACAUGAUGGAGGAUAAUGUGAGAAAAAUAUAUACAUGUGUGACUGGGCCACUUUGCUGGACAGUAGAAAUUGACAGACCACUGUAAACCAACUAUAAUGGAAACAAUAAAAAUCAUUUAAAAGAUUAAAAAAAGAAAAUGGAAACGGCUGUUUUACUAAAAACUUCGAGACAUUGAGACUUCAGUCAUAUAUGACCUCAGUCAUGUAUGACAAACAGGAAGAGUGCUCUUGAAAAUACACUGCAACUUUGACAUCAGCCAGCAGCACCUACUAUUGGAUACUGAUAUGAGACAGUACCUUCAGGGCAAACAGUUUAGUCUUCUGAACCAAGCACUAGCCAUACAAGGAGCUGCACAUGGAAAUGACUACAUCAGGGCCAGGGCCAGGCAGAGGAAAAUGGAUAUAACUCAUGGUGGCAGAGAGAUCAGUGAGUAUGUAGGAAAUACUUUCAAGUCUCCUCAAACAGCUUUGAAGGAAGGCGCAUCAUUUAAGAUUGGGCAGAGUCUUUCAGACUCUAUUAUAACCUAUAAACUAUUAUAACCUAGUCU
rnacentral:lncRNA from 1 species